rnacentral:rRNA from 1 species
UACGAAGGGUGCAAACGUUGUUCGGAAUUACUGGGCGUAAAGGGCGCGUAGGCGGCCUUCUAAGUCGAACGUGAAAUCCCCGGGCUCAACCCGGGAAACUGCGUCCGAUACUGGAAGGCUUGAAUCCGGGAGAGGGAUGUGGAAUUCCAGGUGUAGCGGUGAAAUGCGUAGAUAUCUGGAGGAACACCGGUGGCGAAGGCGACAUCCUGGACCGGUAUUGACGCUGAGGCGCGAAAGCCAGGGGAGCAAACGGG